GCAGCAAACUCCAUGGGUCGGCUCCUCAGCUUGUACCCUCCCGUCACGUACUUCACCGACUCCCCCAUCUUAGAGAGCAGGGCUAGGCCUUGUUUCUUAUUCAGGUCCUGAGGAGAAAAACGCCAACGGUUAGAGCCUCGUCUUAUUCAGGUCCUGAGGAGAAAAACGCCAACGGUUAGAGCCUCGUCUUAUUCAGGUCCUGAGGAGAAAAACGCCAACGGUUAGAGCCUCGUCUUAUUCAGGUCCUGAGGAGAAAAACGCCAACGGUUAGAGCCUCGUCUUAUUCAGGUCCUGAGGAGAAAAACGGCAACGGUUAGAGCCUCGUCUUAUUCAGGUCCUGAGGAGAAAAACACCAACGAUUAGAGCCUUGUUUACCACUGUUACAACAUUACACCAACAGAUGUCUCAAGAGACUUUGAUUGUAAAUUCCUUCAUGGCUUUAUUAAUUCACAGUGGGAGGUACGAGUCAGAAAUGCAUACAGGACUGUAAUGCCAACAUACUAACAUACUAGGCGUAUCCAG
rnacentral:lncRNA from 1 species